AACGAACGCUGGCGGCAUGCCUAACACAUGCAAGUCGAACGAUGUCUUUCGGGGCAUAGUGGCGCACGGGUGCGUAACGCGUGGGAAUCCGCCCUUGGGUUCGGAAUAACCGUUGGAAACGACGGCUAAUACCGGAUGAUGUCGAUAAGACCAAAGAUUUAUCGCCUGAGGAUGAGCCCGCGUAGGAUUAGCUAGUUGGUGUGGUAAGAGCGCACCAAGGCGACGAUCCUUAGCUGGUCUGAGAGGAUGAUCAGCCACACUGGGACUGAGACACGGCCCAGACUCCUACGGGAGGCAGCAGUGGGGAAUACUGGACAAUGGGCGCAAGCCUGAUCCAGCAAUGCCGCGUGAGUGAUGAAGGCCUUAGGGUUGUAAAGCUCUUUUACCCGGGAUGAUAAUGACAGUACCGGGAGAAUAAGCUCCGGCUAACUCCGUGCCAGCCGCCGCCGUAAAAC
rnacentral:rRNA from 1 species